rnacentral:tRNA from 1 species
GCCGGCAUAGCUCAGUGGCAGAGCAGCUGAUUCGUAAUCAGCAGGUCUUCGGUUCAAGUCCGAAUGCCGGCUCCA